ACACCUCAACUCCUCAUGGUUUACUGUGAUGGGCUUGGACUUUGGGGGUCUUGCUGGCCUAUGGUUGGCUCCUCUCAAAUAGAUCAGCUUGCCAGUGUUUGGUGGCAUCACAGGUGUGAUAAAUAUCUACGCUUGUGGUUCCCACCAUAUAGCCUUCAGCGAUGAAGGUUCUCUGGAGCUCACAAAUGUCCCUCCUCAGCGAGGACAGCUUUUUGAAC
rnacentral:misc_RNA from 1 species